rnacentral:rRNA from 1 species
AUACGAAAGGUGCAAGCGUUGUUCGGAUUUACUGGGCGUAAAGAGAUCGUAGGUGGUUUGUUAAGUCGGAUGUGAAAUCCCGGGGCUCAACCCCGGAACUGCAUUCGAUACUGGCAGACUAGAGUUUGGGAGGGGUAAGCGGAAUUCCGUGUGUAGCAGUGAAAUGCGUAGAUAUAUGGAGGAACACCUGAGGCGAAGGCGGCUGACUGGACCAAUACUGACACUGAGGAUCGAAAGCGUGGGUAGCAAACAGGAUUAGAAACCCUAGUAGUCC